CCGCUACUGAGGAAAAAGGACUUGGCUUCCACCUGGGUCCUUACAGAAUACUGUUUCACACCUUCAUGGCCAUGCCUAUUACAUUGUUCAUUCCUCGUGUGUUUACAGUCUCCUCAACAUGGUGGGCACCAAAACAAAAUGUUGUAACUUCACUUCUGUGUAUGGUAAGUAGGAGCUAUGUUUUGAUUAAAUGGAAAAUGGUGAGAAUUUCUGAAAUGGAUUUAAAGUGUUCUCCAGUUCAAAGUGAGGCUUGGAAUGUUCGUUCUCAUGAAAUCGUAACUGAGGUGGUGGUGGAUUAAAUUUAGAGCAAAGGCACAGAUCCGAAGGAUACAAAGCACUUCAAGCUUUUACAUCAGGCUUUUACUUUUAAAUCACCAGAGGAGGAAAUAAAGCCCAGAUGAUGGUUCACGUAUUCACCUGGCAGCAGCAGCACAAGGUGCGUGCAUUCACCUUGCUUUUUAUGCCACAUCACUUCAUUUUAAUUCAACAAAUAGUGAAGAUGUUAUGUGUCUAAAACAAUAACAUUUUAGGCAUAAAAAGAAAAAAUAUUCUUCCAUUUCAGGAUAUCACAAUUCAUGGGGAUAGAGCUAUAGAUAUUCUGAUACAAGAAUCUAGCCAGUAUCUACUAAUCAGGUAGACAGUAUGCCCCAUCAGCUUUCGUCUGUCUUCUAUGGUGGUUUGAAUGAGAAUGGCUACUGCAGGCACACACAUUUGAAGAUUCAGUCCCCAGCUAGUGCAACUGUUUGAGAAGGAUUAGGAGGUGUGGCCAUGACAGAGGAGGUGCUUCAUUUGGGACAAGCUUGAAGUUCCAUAAGCUUCCUGGGGUUUUCAGUGUAUCCCUCUGCUUCUUGGUGGUAGGUACAGAUGCCAGCAGCCCUCUGUUAUCCCUUCACUCUGCAGUCAUAGAUUCUAACCCUCUAAAACUGGAAGUCAAAAAUUAGGUCUGCAGUUUUCAUCACCUUCCUGACACUGUAUGUGACCCACGAAAGAAGAGAAUUCUCCAGUCUUCCUCUUUUCUAUCCUCAAACUCUUCACUGUAUGUGGCAACAUGGGCUCAUUAAUGAGAAUUUGUGGCUUUGGUCUUUCAAAAGCAACAAUGAGGUAACAAACUUCCUGCAUUUAGAGUAACAAGGUUGAUGAACAUGACUUCUUAGCAAAUUGUCAAGUUCCUUAGGGAACUAUUGAACUCUUCUAUCAAUUGCAGAUGAAAAAGAAAUCAAUUUUGGUCCAAAUGACAAUAACUGUAUCAUCAUUUUAAAGCUUUUAAAACUAUUGAUUCAAUGAUUGCAAGAUUGUUUUUAUCUUUGACUUAGGUUCCUAUAAAAAUGUAAACUACAAAAUGAUAUUUUCCAAUAGUGCAGAUAAGCUCUAGAUAAAUUUGAAUGUUCAAAUAUUGCUGAGUAGUGGCUGUGCAUGCCUUUAUUCCCAGCACUUGGGAGACACAGGUAGGCAGAUUUCUGUGGGUUCAAGGUCAACCUAAACUGCAGGUAGAAUUACAGGCCAGCCAGGGAAACACUACAGUUUGUGAGGGAACAGGAACAACAAACUUGAGAUAAAGCUACUGUGUAUGCCCUUGUAAUGUGCUGCAAAGCAUCGGCUAGUGCUGCUGCCAGUGUGGAAGGCCAUUGCACCCUUAGCAGGGAGUGGGAAUGCCAGAGGGAGCUUCUAAGAGGACGAGUGGCUUAUGCCCAAUACUUGCCAAGCUUGGAAUUGAAUGAGGAUUACUUCAUUUUAUUUAUUCAAGAAAUUAAGUUAUGAUUUACACUUGUGUGUUAUUCUAUCCAAAUACAAUUUCUAGUUCUUUAAAGGUUCAUAUUCAUUCUCUGUCCAGUCAUGC
rnacentral:lncRNA from 1 species